rnacentral:rRNA from 1 species
GACGAACCGAGCGAACGUUGUUCGGAAUCACUGGGCUUAAAGGGUGCGUUGGCGGGUUGCCAAGUCUGUGGUGAAAUCCUCCGGCUCAACCGGAGAACUGCCGUGGAUACUGGCGACCUCGAGGGGUGUAGGGGCUUGCGGAACUGUGCGUGGAGCGGUGAAAUGCGUUGAUAUGCACAGGAACUCCGGUGGCGAAAGCGGCGAGCUGGACACCUUCUGACGCUGAGGCACGAAAGCCAGGGGAGCGAACGGG